CGUAGGUGGCAAGCGUUGUCCGGAUUUAUUGGGUUUAAAGGGUGCGUAGGCGGUCUAUUAAGUCAGUGCUGAAAUAUCCCCGGCUUAACCGGGAGGGGUGGCAUUGAUACUGAUGGACUUGAGUGCAGUCGAGGUAGGCGGAAUUGACGGUGUAGCGGUGAAAUGCUUAGAUAUCGUCAAGAACACCGAUAGUGAAGACAGCUUACUAGACUGUAACUGACGCUGAGGCACGAAAGUGUGGGGAUCAAACAGGAUUAGAUACCCUGGUAGUCCACACUGUAAACGUUGAUUACUCGAUGUGUGCGAUAUACAGUACGCGUCUUAGCGCAAGCGAUAAGUAAUCCACCUGGGGAGUACGCCGGCAACGGUG
rnacentral:rRNA from 1 species